ACCUACGGGGGGCAGCAGUGGGGAAUAUUGCACAAUGGGGGAAACCCUGACGCAGCGACGCCGCGUGAGUGAAGAAGUAUUUCGGUAUGUAAAGCUCUAUCAGCAGGAACGAGACAAGACGGUACCUGACUAAGAAGCCCCGGCUAACUACGUGCCAGCAGCCGCGGUAAUACGUAGGGGGCAAGCGUUAUCCGGAAUCACUGGGUGUAAGGGGAGCGGAGACGGCUGAGCAAGCCUGAAGUGAGAGGCGGGGGGCCAAACCCCGGAGCGGCUUGGGGA
rnacentral:rRNA from 1 species